GACGAACGCUGGCGGCGUGCCUAACACAUGCAAGUCGAACGGAACUGUUUUGAAAGCUUUCUUCGGAAUGAAUUUGAUUUAGUUUAGUGGCGGACGGGUGAGUAACGCGUGAGUAACCUGCCUUCAAGAGGGGAAUAACAUUCUGAAAAGAAUGCUAAUACCGCAUGACAUAUCGGAACCACAUGGUUUUGAUAUCAAAGAUUUUAUCGCUUGAAGAUGGACUCGCGUCCGAUUAGUUAGUUGGUGAGGUAACGGCUCACCAAGACCGCGAUCGGUAGCCGGACUGAGAGGUUGAACGGCCACAUUGGGACUGAGACACGGCCCAGACUCCUACGGGAGGCAGCAGUGGGGGAUAUUGCGCAAUGGGGGCAACCCUGACGCAGCAACGCCGCGUGAAGGAUGAAGGUUUUCGGAUUGUAAACUUCUUUUAUUAAGGACGAAAAAUGACGGUACUUAAUGAAUAAGCGCCGGCUAACUACGUG
rnacentral:rRNA from 1 species